AAAGUCCCGCAAGGGAUGAGUAGAGUGGCAAACGGGUGAGUAACACGUGGGUGACCUGCCUUCGAGCGGGGGAUAACGUCCCGAAAGGGACGCUAAUACCGCAUGACAUCCUGCCUUUGAACAGGCGGUGAUCAAAGCUGGGGAUCGCAAGACCUAGCACUUGAAGAGGGGCCCGCGCCUGAUUAGCUAGUUGGUGAGGUAACGGCUCACCAAGGCGACGAUCAGUAUCCGGCCUGAGAGGGCGGACGGACACACUGGGACUGAGACACGGCCCAGACUCCUACGGGAGGCAGCAGUGGGGAAUUGUUCGCAAUGGGCGCAAGCCUGACGACGCAACGCCGCGUGGAGGAUGAAGACCUUCGGGUCGUAAACUCCUUUCGAUCGAGACGAACGGCCUCCGGGUGAACAAUCCGGGGGAGUGACGGUACCGAGAGAAGAAGCCCCGGCUAACUCCGUGCCAGCAGCCGCGGUAAUACGGGGGGGGCAAGCGUUGUUCGGAAUUACUGGGCGUAAAGGGCUCGUAGGCGGCCAACUAAGUCAGACGUGAAAUCCCUCGGCUUAACCGGGGAACUGCAUCUGAUACUGGAUGGCUUGAGAUCGGGAGAGGGAUGCGGAAUUCCAGGUGUAGCGGUGAAAUGCGUAGAUAUCUGGAGGAACACCGGUGGCGAAGGCGGCAUCCUGGACCGACACUGACGCUGAGGAGCGAAAGCCAGGGGAGCAAACGGGAUUAGAUACCCCGGUAGUCCUGGCCCUAACGAUGAAUGCUUGGUGUGGCGGGUAUCGAUCCCUGCC
rnacentral:rRNA from 1 species